UACGUAGGGUGCGAGCGUUAAUCGGAAUUACUGGGCGUAAAGCGUGCGUAGACGGUAGCGUAAGUCGGGUGUGAAAGCCCCGGGCUCAACCUGGGAAUGGCAUUCGAGACUGCUCUGCUAGGGUGCGGAAGAGGGGAGCGGAAUUUCCGGUGUAGCGGUGAAAUGCGUAGAUAUCGGAAGGAACACCAGUGGCGAAAGCGGCUCCCUGGUCCAGCACCGACGUUCAGGCACGAAAGCGUGGGGAGCAAACAGG
rnacentral:rRNA from 1 species